rnacentral:rRNA from 1 species
GAUGAACGCUGGCGGCGUGCCUAAUACAUGCAAGUCGAGCGAACAGACGAGGAGCUUGCUCCUCUGACGUUAGCGGCGGACGGGUGAGUAACACGUGGAUAACCUACCUAUAAGACUGGGAUAACUUCGGGAAACCGGAGCUAAUACCGGAUAAUAUAUUGAACCGCAUGGUUCAAUAGUGAAAGACGGUUUUGCUGUCACUUAUAGAUGGAUCCGCGCCGCAUUAGCUAGUUGGUAAGGUAACGGCUUACCAAGGCAACGAUGCGUAGCCGACCUGAGAGGGUGAUCGGCCACACUGGAACUGAGACAAGGUCCAGACUCCUAAGGGAGGCAGCAGUAGGGAAUCUUCCGCAAUGGGCGAAAGCCUGAAGGAGCAAAGCCGCGUGAGUGAUGAAGGUCUUCGGAUCGUAAAACUCUGUUAUUAGGGAAGAACAAAUGUGUAAGUAACUAUGCACGUCUUGACGGUACCUAAUCAGAAAGCCACGGGUAACUACGUG